GGGUUGAGACGCAAGCUCUCAGGAGGGGAAGAGCAGAGAGCAGGUUUGGGUCAGUGCUCUCCAGCCUGCAUUCUUGCCUUGAUGUCCAGCCCUGCUACAGCGAAAGAACUACAGAGUGCGAGGUGAGCCAGUGCCAGAGCCAAGGCCAGACUCAGGCAGGGACUGGAGUGUGGAGCUGCAGGAGCUGCCUGAGCUGUGUUUCUCCCAGGUGCCCCAGGGAGGGAGAGAAGGGCUCCUCUGGGCACUCCUGGAGGUUGUGCUGGGGAGGAAUCCUGGCCCUGUUAUAGCUCAGAGGCCCACACUCAGCACAGUGUCCCUACCAGGUAAUCCGGGAAGGAGGUCAUGCAGUGGUUUGGGCCGGGCAGCUGCAAGGAAAACUGGUUGCCAUCAAGGCCUUCCCACCGAGGUCUGUGGCUCAGUUCCAAGCUGAGAGAGCAUUGUACGAAAUUCCAGGCCUACAGCACGACCACAUUGUCCGAUUUAUCACUGCCAGCCGGGGGGGCCCUGGCCGCCUGCUCUCUGGGCCCCUGCUGGUACUAGAACUGCAUCCCAAGGGCUCCCUGUGCCACUACUUGACCCAGUA
rnacentral:sRNA from 1 species